rnacentral:rRNA from 1 species
CCUACGGGAGGCAGCAGUGGGGAAUUUUGGACAAUGGGCGCAAGCCUGAUCCAGCAAUGCCGCGUGAGUGAAGAAGGCCUUCGGGUUGUAAAGCUCUUUUGUCAGGGAAGAAACGGUGGGGGCUAAUAUCUCCUACUAAUGACGGUACCUGAAGAAUAAGCACCGGCUAACUACGUGCCAGCAGCCGCGGUAAUACGUAGGGUGCAAGCGUUAAUCGGAAUUACUGGGCGUAAAGCGUGCGCAGGCGGUUUUGUAAGUCUGUCGUGAAAGCCCCGGGCUCAACCUGGGAAUUGCGAUGGAGACUGCAAGGCUUGAAUCUGGCAGAGGGGGGUAGAAUUCCACGUGUAGCAGUGAAAUGCGUAGAGAUGUGGAGGAACACCGAUGGCGAAGGCAGCCCCCUGGGUCAAGAUUGACGCUCAUGCACGAAAGCGUGGGGAGCAAACAGGAUUAGAUACCCUGGUAGUCCACGCCCUAAACGAUGUCUACUAGUUGUCGGGUUUUAAUUAACUUGGUAACGCAGCUAACGCGUGAAGUAGACCGCCUGGGGAUACGGUCGCAAGNUUAAAACGCAAAGGAAUUGACGG